GCAGCAAGGGGCUCAGUUGGUAGAGCGCCUGCAUGGCAUGCAGGAGGUCAGGAGUUCAAUUCUCCUUAGCUCCA
rnacentral:tRNA from 1 species